rnacentral:tRNA from 1 species
GGGUGUCGCCAAGUGGUCAAGGCAGUGGGUUGUGUUUCCACCUUUCGUCGGUUCAAGUCCGAUCACU